GUGUUUGGAAACUCGGAGAACCACACAGACAAUAGCAGGUCUUGUCUGAAGGACCUUGAGCCACACUGUAGGCGCUCCAGUCCCACACACCACAAAUAAGAGGCUUUCUCUGCUUCAGACAUGUUACAUUUCUAAACAAGGCAACAAGUUAUUUGUCUUGGAGACAUUUAUGGCAAGAUGCCAGGUGUGUGUGGAGUGAUUGUUCUUAUAUUCCUGUUCUAAUAAUAUACGUCUUUGCAGCAUGAGACUGCCUCUGUGGCCAUGUUUGACCACCUGGUGGAGGUCAACAACCUGAAGCCAGUGAUGGAGGAGCAUGGCCUGGUGAUGCCAGAGGACUUGGACUUUAUCAAGGAGCAGAUCGCUGGACCACAGAGAAAUCCAGGACAGCAGAAAACAUAUUUGAACAGAUACUGAACUUGUCCUCUACGGGUCUCUCUGAGGUGGGCAAGAUUCUGGUCCCUUUCAAAUCUUGAUGACUUGUCCGCUCAAAAUCUCAAAGAAGAAACAAAGAAACGGGAAUGGCUCGCUUCAGAUCUUGCCAAGGUGGUGGUUUUUGACUAUGGGAAGGACAAAGACCCCAUCGAAAAAGUGCGCUUCUAUUCCAAAUCUCACCCAAACAAACCCAUUCAGAUAAUCAAAAAGAAGGUGUCUAAGCUGCUUCCAGAGACGUUUAAAGAACAGCAGAUCAGAGUCUACUGCAAGAGAACAGAUGAAACAACGCUGGAAGCUGCCAAAAGCGCCUUCAAAGAAUGAAAAAGUUGUCUUGAGGCGAGCCACAGCAGCGUUGGGGCAGAGUGCGGUGGCCAUUUGUGCCAUCGGCCCCUCUGACCAUAUAGGCAUAUUAGGUUAGGUGCUUGUCCCAGGGACACAACAGCAGAAUUCCCUG